rnacentral:rRNA from 1 species
CAGCCGCGGUAUUCCAGCUCCAAUAGCGUAUAUUAAAGUUGUUGCAGUUAAAAAGCUCGUAGUUGAAUUUCGGGAUCAAUUAAUUGGUCGUGCCUCUGGUACGUACUGAUUUUAUUGGUUUCUCCCUUCUGACGAACCAUCAUGUCAUUAAUUUGAUGUGGUGGAGAAUCAGGACUGUUACUUUGAAAAAAUUAGAGUGUUUAAAGCAAGCUAACGCUUGAAUACAUUAGCAUGGAAUAAUGAAAUAGGACGUUUGAUCCUAUUUUGUUGGUUUCUAGGAUCGACGUAAUGAUUAAUAGGGAUAGUUGGGGGCAUUAGUAUUCAAUUGUCAGAGGUGAAAUUCUUGGAUUUAUUGAAGACUAACUACUGCGAAAGCAUUUGCCAAGGAUGUUUUCAUUAAUCAAGAACGAAAGUUAGGGGAUCGAAGACGAUCAGAUACCGUCGUAGUCUUAACCAUAAACUAUGCCGACUAGGGAUCGGAUGAUGUUAAUUUUUUAAUGACUCAUUCGGCGCCUUACG